ACAUGACCGGCUUUGAGCAACAUGGCGGCUGCCGUGGUGCAGCGCCCGGGCUGAUCGACAGCAAGUGCAGCGGGCUCCUACCUCGGGUGAGGGGUGGCCUUCGCGUGGGAUCGUGCCCUCUUCAGCCCGCUCCUGUCCCCGACAUCACGUGUAUUCCGCACGUCCCCUCCGCGCUGUGUGUCUACUGAGACGGAGAGGCGUGACAGGGCCCGGGUCCCUUCUCAGUGGUGCUCUGUGCUUCGGGGCAAGCUCCACGUCUCCGGGCGCACUUCCCUCGCCUGUGUUGGGUCCAUCCUCCUUUCUCCAGCCUCCUCCCCUCGCAGGUGGGAUCGUCGGUGGGACCGGAGCGCGGGCGGGCGCGGCCCCCCGGGACCAUGGCCGGGUCCGACACCGCGCCCUUCCUCAGCCAGGCGGAUGACCCGGACGACAGGCCAGUGCCUGGCACCCCAAGGUUGCCAGGGUCCACGGGGAACCCGAAGUCCGAGGAGCCCGAGGUCCCGGACCAGGAGGGGCUGCAGCGCAUCACCGGCCUGUCUCCCGGCCGUUCGGCUCUCAUAGUGGCGGUGCUGUGCUACAUCAAUCUCCUGAACUACAUGGACCGCUUCACCGUGGCUGGCGUCCUUCCCGACAUCGAGCAGUUCUUCAACAUCGGGGACAGUAGCUCUGGGCUCAUCCAGACCGUGUUCAUCUCCAGUUACAUGGUGUUGGCACCUGUGUUUGGCUACCUGGGUGACAGGUACAAUCGGAAGUAUCUCAUGUGCGGGGGCAUUGCCUUCUGGUCCCUGGUGACACUGGGGUCAUCCUUCAUCCCUGGAGAGCAUUUCUGGCUGCUCCUCCUGACCCGGGGCCUGGUGGGGGUCGGGGAGGCCAGUUAUUCCACCAUCGCGCCCACUCUCAUUGCCGACCUCUUUGUGGCCGACCAGCGGAGUCGGAUGCUCAGCAUCUUCUACUUUGCCAUUCCGGUGGGCAGUGGUCUGGGCUACAUUGCAGGCUCCAAAGUGAAGGAUAUGGCUGGAGACUGGCACUGGGCUCUGAGGGUGAGUCUGGUCUUGGCCUGGGGGUGGGUCAGUGACAUUCUCACUGAUCCCUGUUUCCUACCUUUGGACCCUUUCCCAAUGCCCAUUUUUCUUUUAAGAGACAGGGUCUUGUUGUGUCACCCAGGCUGCAUGCAGUGCAGUGGUGCAAUCAUAGCUCACUGUAGCCUUGAACUCCUGAGCUCAAGUGAUCCUCCCACCUCAGCCUCCCAAGUAGCUGGGACUGUAGGUGCCCACCACCAUGCCUGGCUAAUUAAAAAAACUUUUUCUUUUUGUAGGCUGGGCGUGGUGGCUAACACCUGUAUCCCAGCAUUUUGGGAGGCUGAGGCAGGUGGAUCACUUGAGGUCAGGAAUUCAAGACCAGCCUGGCCAACAUGGUGAAACCUUGGCUCUACUAAAAAUACAAAAAUUAGCUGGGCAUGGUGGUGCAUGCCUGUAAUCCCAGCUACUUGGGGGGCUGAGGCAGGAGAAUCACACUUGAACCCAGGAGGCGGAGGUUGCAGCAAGCUGAGAUUGCACCACUGCACUCUAGCCUGGGCGACAGUGGGAGACUCCGUCUCAAAAAAAAAAAAAAAAAUUUUGCUAGGCAUGAUGGCUCGUGCCUAUAAUCCCAGCACUUUGGGAGGCUGAGGUGGGCGGAUCACCUGAGGUCAGGAGUUCGAGGCCAGCUUGACCAACAUGGUGAAACCCUGUCUCUACUAAAAAUACAUAAUUAGCUGGGCAUGGUGACGCAUGCCUGUAAUCCCAGCUACUUGGGAGGCUGAGGCAGGAGAAUCGCUUGAACCCGGGAGGCAGAGGUUGCAGUGAGCAGAGAUCGUGCCAUGGCACAAAAAAAAAAAAAAAAUUUUUUUUUUGUAGAGACGGGGUCUUUGAAUGUUGCCCAGGUUGGUCUUGAACUCCUGGCCUCAAGCAAUCCUCUUGCUUUGGCCUCCUAAAGUGCUGGGCUUACAGGUGUGAGCCAUGCGCCUGGCUCCAAAUACCCCUUUUUUGGGGCCAGCCUGCAGAAGGCUGGCCGCCCUCACCUGGAAGGCAUGUGCUAGACAGAAUUCUUGCAUGCAGGUGACGGAAGCCUAUUGUAAAACUGUAAGCCCCCUAGAGGCCGGGCGCGGUGGCUCAUGCCUGUAAUCCCAGCACUUCGGGAGGCCAAGGCGGGUGGAUCACAAGGUCAGGAGAUCGAGACCAUCCUGGCUAACACGGUGAAACCCCGUCUCUACU
rnacentral:sRNA from 1 species